AUUGUGGUGAUGCUGCUGCAUGUUGUUUCGCUGUGGCUGCUGCUUGCGAGUAUCUUGGGAUAAAUAAUACUACCUAGAGCUGAUUCAUUGACCCUCUUUCGCUGCUGCUUUUCCCUUUGAUCUGGGAAAUUGCACAGAUGGAGGGCAACAUCAAAUUAAGACCUGCGCCGCGUACAUUGACCUCACCCUACUGAAGAACGCAAACUUUAAAGUAGUAUUAUUUACAGUCUCAAAGCUCCGUAUAAUAUAUGCAGACUAAUGACUAUUUCGUUGCUUUGACUUUAGUCUAUGAUAUAAUAUAGCUUCAUAUCAUAAUCUUAUUCUCCUUUUUAUCGCAACAACUUUUCAAGCACUGUUCUUUGCCACGCACAUGAGCGCGCGCAAAACACAUAGGAGUUGCUACAACAAUAAAGCCUUUAGUUCCAAGUUAAAGUAGGCUACAGUUGGAGCCCAACAAGGGCCACAAACAAGGAGGGGCAUGGACAUGAGCACAAGGAAAAAAGAAUUCUUGUCAACUAAUGAAUGCCUCUUGUAAUUUCCCUCUUUUGCACCAAAAGAAUCAGAAAUUUAGUGGUAACUUUUCCAGUAGUUUGUGAAAUUGGCAGAGGAAAAAACAAGUCCAUACGAGACUGUACAAUGCCUCUUUCCUACAUGUGCCUAUCUUCGUUCUUAAGGGUUCAUUCAGACUUUCAGAACUUCUCCUGUUCCUUCAAAUCUCCUGGGCACAUUUCAUUUCUCUGCUAUAAAAAUGCAAAAGAACUCUACCCAACGUUCAACUACGAAUGUGAUAUGCGAUGGUAGGCCAUGCCUGCUAAUGAACUAUGUUUCAGGCCGUAGAAGAGGUAUAUGAGCGCACCAGCCGCCAUCCAUAUGGAAACACGAAUCCAUGUGUGACUCCUGCAAUCAUUUGAGUUGAAACGUGAGGUCAAGAUUACCUUCAGGAUUACUACGAAGCAUAGGUAUGCGUUGACGAUGAUGCAACAAAUUGGAAGCAAUGGAACCAAUGGGCACAUGAAACCUAGGACAAGCAAAGUGGUAAUUUGAGAUUUUAUUGAAUUGCACUGGAUUUCUCACUCAGAUUUCACCAAGUUUGCAGAACUGCUAAUGUCCAUGUCCGUAAGCUUAUACCUCCAGUUUGUCCCAAAGAGCUCUUAUCUUGUCCAAUGCACAACAGCACAAUAGAAGAACUAAACAGUAGCAGCCCGCCUAUGGUGCAUGCAGUCAUUCGCACAUAACUACAGAAAGCAAAACAGGAUCAGAUGAUGUUGCUUUUUUAUUGCCAAAAAAACAGCAAUAGUAAUGAUGAUGAUGAUGAUGCAAUUCUAGAUGUGCUCUUCAGUCCCAGGAACAGUAUCCAAAUACUUUCUUUGCACAUUAUAGAACCAGAUAUAUGAAAUGGUGCCCACUGAGAUACAGGUGGUGGUGACCUAUCACUUACAAUGGCAAAG